UUCCAGAUUCGGGUAGCCCAGGUGACUUCGGAUACGGGGCCCAGCCAGGCUUUUACGAUUUUUUCCCUGGUCAACCUCCACCAGAUGGAAUGGCCUAUCACGGUGUCCUCGGUCCCGGCCAAAAUGUUCCUCCUCCUCCAACUAGUAUGGAGCAACCCCUCUCAGCAGUUGUCGGACCAGGUCCUGUAAAUUUAGGUGCAGAUGCUCCAUAUUUGACACCACACGGGGAUCUCAUGUCACAGAGGUCCAGCCCAGACAGCGUUCUCAGCUUAGCGUCGGACGCAUACGGUCCGCCCCGAUCCUCUUCUGCCGGAUUUCCGGGCAAUCUCGGUGGUCAUCCGGCUAUCUCCGAGACUCAAGUUUGGUGACGGCACGCCUACCUGGCACCGCCUGUGUCAAUAUCGUCUGAAUGAAGCUGAAUGUUUUAGGACAUUGCCCAUCUGUCUUAACUAUAAUCAUAAUGUUGUACAGACGAAAGCAGAACUGUCUCUGGACCUCAGGAAAAAGCCGAGAAGAAAUAAAUUCAUUCAGUUUGUAAUUAUUUGUUUAACUGAAUAUGGAGCAAUCAGAAGAUUCAAAAAGUCGAAGACUUUGUAGCAUCGAGUACAUGUUAUGCCAGAGAUUAUUUAAAUAUAAGCAGCAAUUUAAAAAAAAAAUUGCUUUAUUUAAUGUAUGUCUGUUUUGCGAUAAACGUAAUCAACAAAUUUUUAAAUCUUGAAGAAGAGUUUUAUAAGUUUGCCAUUUUUAGUUGCAAAAUAAUGAUUUAAAAUUAUUGAAAAUAAAUUCGUUAUGAAGAUUCGUGAAAACUUGCCUUUCUAUAUUUAUUAAUAGAAAGAACUUUUUAAUUGAAAUCAGAACUUAAUUUUCAAAAUUGGAUAAAUGAAUAUUAAACAAGAUUUAGAAAUGUAUAUAAAUUUAAGUAAAAUGGUAAUGACUUAAAGUGAUUUUUACGAAUGCAAAAGAAUGCUUACAAUAUGGUUAAAGAAAGUAAAUACGAAAUUGUUUUUGUGAAAGAAAACAAGCUUUCAGUAUGGAAUGAGACUAAAUCGCACCCUAAAAUAUUAUUAACUUAUCAAAUAACCCACAAAAAUUAGUCAGUGUACUUUAUAUUAUUAUAGCAAAUUAUUGUAUUUUAUUAUGACAUAGAAAUGUCUAUUGUGGUAUAGAAAAUAUUUUACUACGGUAUGGAAAUACAUACUAGAGGAAAAAAAUUACUAUAGAAAUAUUCUAUAGCAUAGUAAAAUAUUGUAUUUAAUUAGAUAGAUUAACUUUCAUUUUAAUUAGAAAUAAGAUUAAUCCUAAACAGAAAAACAUGCUGUCAUCAACUAUUCAUUUAAAUUUCUUUAUCUUUAAAUUUUACUAAAAUAAAAGGGGAGUUUUAUACUCGAGUGGGUUUUAUUUUGGAUACUCUUCAAAUUUAAAUGCUGAGGUAGAUUUUUAAAGGCAAGUAAUUGAAUUUCAAUGAUGGCAUCGCAAAAAAAAUGUAUUUUUUCCAGUUCCUCAAAUGUGUACAUUUAUUCCAAACUUUCGUCUUCGAAGUAUUAAUUCAAAGAAUAUAAAUUUAAAAUAUUUCUGGUAUUUCAAAAUUAAUGCUGGCAUUUAAUUUUGAAAUUAAUUCUCAUUAAUUAAUAAGAGUUAAUUUAAAGCAUUUUCAAAUGAGAAUUGAAUAAAAUUAAUUCUCAUUAGUGCUAAUAAUUUUUAUUUUAAAAAAUACUCCACAGGCUGAAAGAUUUUUCUUAAAUUGUCCAGUGAAGAUGUAUGCUAUAGCUUUUAUGAAUAUGAAAAUAAAACUGAUAUGUUUACAAAACUUAAUUCGAAAAUUUAUUGAAGUAACAGAAUUAGCUGGAACAACAAAACUUCGUACUGGCUUUUGAAGUUUCCAGUUCCAUACAGUAAAAUAGCUGCCUAGCUCAUCUAGUUAAUUUGAAUCUGUCAGAAUGGAUGAAAAAUAUACGAACUCGUAUAUCUCCUUCUCAAUCUGUUAUAGGAGCAAAAUUCUAGACUUCCGAUAAUGCAUCUGACAAAAAUUCCUACCCCUCUAAACCAGCCUUGGAAAAGGGAUUUCACAAUUCAUUAUUAUUAUUUUAGUAAACAUUUUUUCCCCUUCUCCACCUUUCCCCCUGAUUUGGCCGUUAACUUUCCCUGGCGAAAAAUUACGUACGGGACAGACGAGCUAUGCUUUAGUUCAUCUUUAAAAUAAAAGAAGAUAAAAACAAAAGAAACAAAACGAAGAGUGGGAGGAAAAACAAAGAACGUUUUGGGGGGAGCUAUACGUGAGGGAAGGGGGGAUGCUUGUUCGAAAUUAUUCUCUCUGCAUGGUUCAUCAAGGAUGGGAAACAUCACAGAUGUUUCACCGUUAAACCGUACUAACAUCCUAGGGCUAUGCUUUGGUAUAUACAUCCACGCUCCCUACACAUACAUGCAUACCUUCAAAUAUAUAUAUAUAUAUAUAUAUAUUAAUACCGUAUGGGUAGUUGUACAGCUUUGUUAUAGCUAGCAGGGAGAAAAAUCGACCAUCUGUUUGGGUUUCUAACUAGGCAUUGCUACAGCACUUUUUUUCUUUGCAAUUUUUGCCUGUUGUGUUUUAUGCUUUGUUUUUGCAGUUUGGGGGUUGCCUGAGGUAGAGUAAAGCGUCGUGCAUCUGGGUUUAAUAUAAAGUUUACCCAUCGUCCUGUAUUGUUUCUAUUGAUGGAGUUUUAGAAAACAGUAAAUAGCACUGCGCGAAGAAGCAUUUUCUCCACUAGUUCAUUUUCGCCCAGUUGUUCCAUUUUAUUUUUUUAUUCCCUUUUUAUGUACCAAGAUUUUCACAUUUCGAAAUUUUGUUAAUAGCUCUGGAGCGAGAUGGUAUGGAUGGAAGGUGAAGGUGGGUUGGUGUUUUGGAAUUGUCUCUCGCGUAUUUCCGAGGUUUUCUUUCUUUGUUUUUUGUUUUUAUGUCUUAGAUUUUGCGAAGUUUUUCAGAGUUAUUUCCCUUCCCCAUGGAAAAUUUUUUACAGCUUUAUGUUGCUAAGUAAUCACGAAACACUUUGUUUCCACAGCACUUAAAUUACAGGAACAUAAAAUCAUUUAGGCACUUAAGAUUUAAUAGCAGCCAAUUUUUCUAAAUGAGACAAAAGUGAUGUGUGCUCAUCUACCAUAUUGUCGAAAGUCGUUGGAUAAAAUGAAGUCUUAUUUUAGGUAUGAUACUAAAAAGCACCUUCUUAAGUAGACUAUUUUCUGCACCUUCAUUUAACCCCCCAAAAAUAUUUAUUCGCUUUCAACUUUCGGCAAGUAUAUAGCAAAAUUAGUUUUCCUUCAAACGAAAUGAAAACCUCAGAGCAAAAUUUCGAUGUUUUGUACUCAGGUAUGAAAAAUCACCUGAUUUGCUUAUAUUUUUGCUACUCUUUAUUUUGUAAUAAUCUUUUACUCAGUUGAAAUUUUCGUUUAAUGAAACAUUAUUGAUUAUUUGAAUAGGAUGCAUCUGGAGAAUUCUAACUUACUUAUUUUUAAUGUAAAAUAGAGCUUAAAUUUAAAUACUUUAUCUUGUUUAUAUCGCUUGCAAUUUCUUUCUAUAUUAGACAAUAGUUUUAUUUUUUAUAAGCUCCAAACUAAGUAUAUUUAGACAUAUUUAAAGUGCACUUUUCUUCUAAAAAUGUAAUUCUUCUGAAGCAAAAUAAAAUUUUAAAUGAUGGUAACGAAGGCAGGAUUUCCUUUCAGCAGAGAACAGCUAAAUGAAUUUAGCUACAUAUUCUAUCAAUUUUUAGCUUAAAGUAUGUAAAUAUUAUGAAAUAAAUUCCUUUAAAACAACAUAAGUCACUUAUUACAUAAAGACAGCAUUUGUGACUAAAAUAAGAAUACUUUGGCACUCUUAAAUUCUGUAGUUAUGUCAAGUAUAAUUCAGCCUAAAUAGUGAUUUAGAAGCCCCAAACAAAAUAAAAGGGUAUUAUGUAAGCUAUGCAGUGAAAUUUUCUUACGUUUAACACAUCUGUUAUAUAUUGUCGAUGUUUAAGUCAUCCUCUCUGCAUGCAGUUUUGCACACUAAAAGGACUUCUGUAACUUCUAAGUAGGGGUUUCAUGUAAAUAACCAUAAGAAUGUUACAUUAAAUAUAACUGUAUAAAGAAGGAAUAAAAAUGUUAAAUGAAUUUCCGACUCAAAAUAACAAUCUUAAACAAUUAGAAAUAUCAGAUUCAUCUAAAAAUAAAUAUAUCUAACUGCCUCUUAAUGUAAAAAUUAAUUAUGAAUUAUUAAAUAUUAUAAUGUAAAUAUAAAUUAAUGUCAUUUUCUAUAAAUCUAUUUUGAUCAAUUGAUUUUUCUUGCAUGAAAUGAGAGAUAUUUUUUAAAUUGAAAAUUCUAUGUGAUACAAGUUUUUACAGGAAACAGACGUUUUAGAAUAUCACAAAAAGUUAUUAAAAUUACAAAAAAUUAUAUACAGUUAAUUCGACCUCUUAAGUCAUUUCAUACUUUUUUGGGGGCUUAAAUUAAAUAAUAAUUUUAAUUCUUUUACCAAAAAUUUGUAUUCACUCUAAUAAUAACAUUAUUAAAAAGCAGUUUCGAAUUCAAUUCGCAUUCUCUUAUCAUACGAAUAAAUAUUAUGUAACUUUCGAAGUAAAAUUAAAAUACCAAUUUGUGAAAAUAUUUCGCAUAUGUUUAUUUCCUCUUUUGCUAUCAUUCCUUUUAUUUACUUUGCCAAAAUUUUAUUAUAUUUCAACUUAAUUAUUUAUGAAAAUUAUUACUUCUUUUCAGUACAUUAAUAUGCUCGUGGUUAAAAUUUAUUUUUUAUGAAAUUUUAAAAGAAAAAAGAAAUUUGCUAUUAUAAGAGAACUCUUCUAAGUAAAUUAUAUCAAUUAUAACAAAUACCAAGAAGAAAUUUAACUUAUAUAAGUGCAUUUGACAAGCUCGUAAAUUAGAAAUACUUGAAUAUGAAUCUUCAUGCAGAAAUUCAGAACUUUUUAUUAAUAGAAUUUUAUAAUUCAGAACUUUUUUUUAUUGUAGAAUUACCACAGUAUACGUCUACUGUUAAGAGCUUAAAGAAACAUUUUGCUGCUGUUAUAUUUGAUAAUCUCUGGCAUUGAAUUUCUUCCUCGGCAAACUGGUCCAGUUACAAAUACAGAGAAUAUAUCUCAUCACAAUUAUAUUUUAUUUAUUUGUAACUGUGAGACGAAACUGUUACUCAUUGUUUGCUAAAAAAUAUAUAAAAGAUGUAUGUAAAGACAUUCUGCUGAGCACUACGGAAACCAAAACGGUGUGAAAAAUGUAAUUUCCUAUUUCUUGAAUUGAUUCAGCACCAAGACUUCAGUGCAAUCUUCUAUCAUCUUCACAAUGGAGGCACAAUGUGAAGAAUUUAUGAGGCAAUUUUUGUCUCGUUGUACAUGUAAAUAAAACGAAAGCUAUCUUUUCGUUGCCAUUAAUGUUUCAUUGUCGUCCAUAGGAGUUCCAGGAGGUGAAUGUUCCAUAUUUAUAAAAAAUAAAGAAAAAUAUAUGAUUGGUUCAAAGACGACUGUUUGUAUAUUAAUUAUUUCAAAAGAAAAAAAAGGAUAAUGAUAAUAACAAGCUGUUUCGUUAUCGUUCUUUUUAUGAUUUUUUUUUUUUUUUUUUUUUUAAAGUUUUCGAACCUUCUUGCAGUGUAAUGGUUGUUUGCGAGCAAGUUAUGUAAAUUUUAUUGGUGCAAAUAUAUUAAAAUGAUAAUACAUUCUCA